rnacentral:rRNA from 1 species
AUACAGAGGUGGCAAGCGUUGUUCGGAUUCAUUGGGUGUAAAGCGCUCGUAGGCGGCCUGUUAAGUCGGAUGUGAAAGCCCCGGGCUCAACCUGGGAACUGCAUUCGAAACUGGCAGGCUAGAGUAUAGUAGAGGCAAGUGGAAUUCCGGGUGUAGCGGUGAAAUGCGUAGAUAUCCGGAGGAACAUCAGUGGCGAAGGCGGCUUUCUGGACCAAUACUGACGCUGAGGUGCGAAAGCGUGGGAAGCAAACAGGAGUAGAAACCCCAGUAGUCC